rnacentral:rRNA from 1 species
UACAGAGGGUGCGAGCGUUGUCCGGAAUCACUGGGCGUAAAGGGCGCGUAGGUGGCGACCCAAGUCGAUGGUGAAAGCUCGCCGCUCAACGGCGAGUCGGCCACCGAUACUGGGUUGCUCGAGCACUGUAGAGGCUAAUGGAAUUCCGGGUGUAGCGGUGGAAUGCGUAGAGAUCCGGAAGAGCACCGGUGGCGAAGGCGGUUAGCUGGGCAGUUGCUGACACUGAGGCGCGACAGCGUGGGGAGCAAACAGG